UGAUGAAUAUUGGUCAAUGGGCGAGAGCCUGAACCAGCCAAGUAGCGUGCAGGAUGACGGCCCUAUGGGUUGUAAACUGCUUUUAUGUGGGGAUAAAGUGCGUGACGUGUCAUGCAUUGCAGGUACCACAUGAAUAAGGACCGGCUAAUUCCGUGCCAGCAGCCGCGGUAAUACGGAAGGUCCGGGCGUUAUCCGGAUUUAUUGGGUUUAAAGGGAGCGUAGGCUGUCUAUUAAGCGUGUUGUGAAAUUUACCGGCUCAACCGGUGGCUUGCAGCGCGAACUGGUCGACUUGAGUAUGCAGGAAGUAGGCGGAAUUCAUGGUGUAGCGGUGAAAUGCUUAGAUAUCAUGACGAACUCCGAUUGCGCAGGCAGCUUACUGUAGCAUAACUGACGCUGAUGCUCGAAAGUGCGGGUAUCAAACAGG
rnacentral:rRNA from 1 species